AGAGUUUGAUCAUGGCUCAGAUUGAACGCUGGCGGCAGGCCUAACACAUGCAAGUCGAACGGUAACAGGAAGCAGCUUGCUGCUUCGCUGACGAGUGGCGGACGGGUGAGUAAUGUCUGGGAAACUGCCUGAUGGAGGGGGAUAACUACUGGAAACGGUAGCUAAUACCGCAUAACGUCGCAAGACCAAAGAGGGGGACCUUCGGGCCUCUUGCCAUCGGAUGUGCCCAGAUGGGAUUAGCUAGUAGGUGGGGUAACGGCUCACCUAGGCGACGAUCCCUAGCUGGUCUGAGAGGAUGACCAGCCACACUGGAACUGAGACACGGUCCAGACUCCUACGGGAGGCAGCAGUGGGGAAUAUUGCACAAUGGGCGCAAGCCUGAUGCAGCCAUGCCGCGUGUAUGAAGAAGGCCUUCGGGUUGUAAAGUACUUUCAGCGGGGAGGAAGGGAGUAAAGUUAAUACCUUUGCUCAUUGACGUUACCCGCAGAAGAAGCACCGGCUAACUCCGUGCCAGCAGCCGCGGUAAUACGGAGGGUGCAAGCGUUAAUCGGAAUUACUGGGCGUAAAGCGCACGCAGGCGGUUUGUUAAGUCAGAUGUGAAAUCCCCGGGCUCAACCUGGGAACUGCAUCUGAUACUGGCAAGCUUGAGUCUCGUAGAGGGGGGUAGAAUUCCAGGUGUAGCGGUGAAAUGCGUAGAGAUCUGGAGGAAUACCGGUGGCGAAGGCGGCCCCCUGGACGAAGACUGACGCUCAGGUGCGAAAGCGUGGGGAGCAAACAGGAUUAGAUACCCUGGUAGUCCACGCCGUAAACGAUGUCGACUUGGAGGUUGUGCCCUUGAGGCGUGGCUUCCGGAGCUAACGCGUUAAGUCGACCGCCUGGGGAGUACGGCCGCAAGGUUAAAACUCAAAUGAAUUGACGGGGGCCCGCACAAGCGGUGGAGCAUGUGGUUUAAUUCGAUGCAACGCGAAGAACCUUACCUGGUCUUGACAUCCACGGAAGUUUUCAGAGAUGAGAAUGUGCCUUCGGGAACCGUGAGACAGGUGCUGCAUGGCUGUCGUCAGCUCGUGUUGUGAAAUGUUGGGUUAAGUCCCGCAACGAGCGCAACCCUUAUCCUUUGUUGCCAGCGGUCCGGCCGGGAACUCAAAGGAGACUGCCAGUGAUAAACUGGAGGAAGGUGGGAAUGACGUCAAGUCAUCAUGGCCCUUACGACCAGGGCUACACACGUGCUACAAUGGCGCAUACAAAGAGAAGCGACCUCGCGAGAGCAAGCGGACCUCAUAAAGUGCGUCGUAGUCCGGAUUGGAGUCUGCAACUCGACUCCAUGAAGUCGGAAUCGCUAGUAAUCGUGGAUCAGAAUGCCACGGUGAAUACGUUCCCGGGCCUUGUACACACCGCCCGUCACACCAUGGGAGUGGGUUGCAAAAGAAGUAGGUAGCUUAACCUUCGGGAGGGCGCUUACCACUUUGUGAUUCAUGACUGGGGUGAAGUCGUAACAAGGUAACCGUAGGGGAACCUGCGGUUGGAUCACCU
rnacentral:rRNA from 1 species